CAGCCGAGACCACGCGCGAGGAUCGUUGGGGACUGCGCUGCCGCUACAUGCGGACGGGGCAGCCGAGCGUGUCCGUGUAUGUGACGGCGAGAUGACCAAACAGAAGUCUGAGCUGGUAUGUGUUACUAUUAUUUUAUUAGAGAGGAAACUGUUCAAUGGAAAUGUGUAGUGUUGUUUAUCUACUUUCUUCGUUGCAGAGCGUAAGUAUUUUUAAGGUAGAUAUCGAUAUUAAGAGAGUGAGUAGAGAAGAUUGGAGAAUAUUGCGAUUGGUGAAUAAGAUAAAGUAGAUGAAGAGAAUGGUUGCGAUUGGUUGAGAGGAGAUAGUAGGUGAAGAAAUAGUUACCGUGCUAAAAAUAACUAUAUUUUAGAAUGGAUAUAAUACUACAUAUCAAUAUGAUGUUGAUCAUUUUUUUUUCACAUUACAAGGAACUAGCUGGAUGGCCCGCGCAAUUGCGCGGCUAGCACCCAUAUAAAAUUAUAUAUUUUUAAUAUGACUUUACUUCAAAUUUAUUAAAUAGUUAUCUCGUUGUCUUAAGAUUUUUAAAGACUAAACCUUAUUAUCCUCGCGUUUCUAAUUUCUUUAGUUUCUAAAGUCACAACAGUUGCUACCCCUUACUUCUGUCAUAUUAUUCUUUAUUUGUUUGCUCGAUCUAUCACAGUUUUCUAUUCAUUCUCCUUGGAAUCUUUAAAAAUUGGAUCUAAAAACUUAUAGGUUUUAGAGUUUAUUGUCCUGUUGGGCAUCUUUUUUAUAAUUUCUAGAAGUCCCGUCAAACACUACCAUUAUACUCAUCUAUGAUCGUCCACUGCAUCUUCUCUCUAUUGUCAUUGCUAUUUUAAAAAUCGAACAUAAUUAUCGUUUAGGUUUAUUUUUUUACUUUCUAUAAGUUCCGCCAAAACGUCAGCGACUUUGUCACUGUACUCCUCUACGACUCACCCGCUGCCGCCCUUCUUCAUUGUCAUUGAGAUUUUAAAAUCAAACAGGAUUAUCAUUGGGGUUUAUUUUUUUUUACUUUUUAGAAACCCGAACCUUUAAAAAUUGGAGUUUAUUGUCUUGUUGGAUUUCAUUUUUCUUUUAUAAUUUCUAGAAAUCCCAUUAAACGCUGCCACUAUACUCCUCUAUGACCCGUCCGCCGCAUACUCUUUAUUAGGAUUGUAAAAGUCAAACAUAACUAUCAUUGGAAUUUAUUUAUUUUUACUUUAUAGAAGACUCACCAACCAUCGGCGACUUUGCCAUUGUACUCCUAUACGACUCGACCGCUGCCUCUCAUUUUUAUUAUUAUUGAGAUUUUAAAAAUCAAAUAUGAUUAUCAUUGGGUUUAUUUUUUUACUUUCUAGAAGUCCUGCCACCUACCUUCAAAUUUUCUGAAAUUUUAAAUUUUAAGUUAAUUUUAAAUUAUAUUCCUACUUGAACUCUUCUUUUCUUUUCUUUUUUCUAAUUUUGAUUUUUUUUAUUUUUUAUUCCGAAAUUUAAUUAAUCUCGUAUUGGAUUCUUAUAUGGACUCUUCUUUCAAUAUUCCUUAUUUUUAAUUCCCAAUUUCUGCUAUUUUUAAAUUGUAAUCCUACUUGGACUCUUUUUUUUUUGCUAAUUUCAGAUUUUAUUUUAUUUUUAUUCCGAAUUUUGAUUAAUCUCGUAUUGGGUUCCUAUAUGGAAUCUUCUUUCAAUAUUUCUUAUUUUGAAUUCCGAAUUUCAGCUAUUUUUAGAUUAUAUUCUUACUUAGAUUUUUUUUUUGCUAAUUUCGGAUUUUAUUUUAUUUUUAUUCCGAAUUUAGAUUAAUCUCGUAUUGCGUUCCUUUAUGGACUCUUCUUUCAAUAUUGCUUACUUUUAAUUUCGAAUUUAAGCUAUUUUUAGAUUGUAUUUCUACUUGGACUCUUCUUUUCUUUUUCUUCGAUUAAUGUGGAAAUUUCUAGCCCCCACAGUGAACGUAAAAAUCAAAUAUAAUUAUCAUUGGGUUUAUUUUUUUUUACUUUUUAGAAGACCCGCCAAACGCCUUGACCGAUUGCUUCACGACCUGCCCGUUGUACUUCUUUUUAGUCGUCAUUAAUAUUCUAUUUGAUGUUUUAUUAAUAGUUUUUAGAUGUUCCAUCAACCGCCACCACUCUACUGCAUGUUACUUAAUUAAUCUCGUCAUGUGUUUCAGAUGGUCUUUUCUUUUAGUAAUCUUUAUUUUUUUAUCACCAAUUUUAGUUAUUUAUAAAUUGUAUUCCUAGCUGAUAUCUUAUUUUUCUUUUUCUAAUUUCAGAAUUUAUUUUAUUUUUCGUAUUGUGUUCUUUAGAUUUUUUUUAUUUUUACUUUGAAUUUCAGUUGUUUUAAAAUUGUAUUUCUACUUUAACUCUCUUUUUAAUUUUCCUAAUUUCAGAUUAUAUUUUAUUUUUUAUUCCGAAUUUUAGUUAAUCUACUAUUGGGUUCUUAUAUGUACUCUUAUUUCAAUAUUGCUUAUAUUUAAUUUCGAAUUUUAGUUAAUUUUAAAUUAUAUUCUUACUUGAACUAUUCUUUUCUUUUCCUUUUUCUAAUUUCGAUAUUUAUUUUUUUUAUUCCGAAUUUUAAUUAAUCUCGUAUUGGGUUAUUGUAUGGACUCUUCUUUUAAUAUUCCUUAUUUUAAUUCCUAAUUUCAGCUAUUUUUAAAUUGUAUUCCUACUUAGACUCUUUUUUUGCUAAUUUCGGAUUUUAUUUUAUUUUUAUUUCGAAUUUUGAUUAAUCUCGUAUUGGGUUCCUAUAUGGAAAUUUCUUUCAAUAUUGCUUACUUUUAAUUCCGAAUUUCAGCUAUUUUUAAAUUGUAUUCCUACUUGGACUCUCUUUUUCUUUUUUUUCUUUUUCUCUGAUUAAUGUGGGAAUUUUUAGCCCCCACAGCGAACGUGGUGCCUCCUUUCAAAGCUGUUUUGAUAAUAUAAUAGAUAGAUAUACAUGUGUGCAUACGCAUUAUGUACGUAGAAAUGGAGUGCCAAGAUCCUUUGCUCAAAAAAAGGGCAUUAUAUAUGUACGUAUACCACGUGCACACAUCUAUAAAUAUGUCCUCUAACGCAUGUCUAAAGAAUGAAGAUCGACAACAAAUUCCUGACCUCAAUCAUUAAUAUCAUAUUCAAAGCGUACUCACAUGGACGUGGUAUUCAUGAGCGAUAGGUUACUAGUGCAAACAGUGUUAAAACUGUUACCAGGAAAAUAUCCGAUGUACGAUUAGAGUGUACAAGGUUGCAACUUACGGAGUAUAUAUAACCAAAACACAAGAAGCCUUUUAAUAUACUGACUAUGAAAACUAUGUGCUACAUUAUAUUGGUGUUGGGCUUUCACUUAUUCUAUCUUAUUCAAAUUAUACAAAGGUUAAUUUCAUGGCUGUUGAGGACCGGUGUCUCCAUAUCCCGAUCCAUGACCUAAACCUUCACCAUAUCCACCUCUAGCGCUAUCACCGGCACCUCCACCGUCACCUUUACUCUUCGCAUACUCAUCACCGUAUUGAUUACCAGCCUCACCUAUACCAACGCCGGAACCAAAUCCAUGUCCAAAUCUAUUAGGUCCACCGUACCCACCACCACCUCCACUCCCUCGACCACCAGCCUUAUAGUAUCAAUUAUUAUAUGGCCAGCCGCCGUUAAAUUGACCAAAUCCAACCCCAGAUCCAUAGCCAUCUCCAUAUCCAUUUUGUCCGCCACCUUCCCCUCCACCUCCUCCUCUCCCCCAUGGCAUAGUUUCCAUCAUAAGGGCUAUAACCCCUAGAUUCACCAUACCUAGAGCCCAAACCAGAACUAGAACCAAACCCAUCAUGUUGUCCACCACCUCCGCCUUUGCCACCACCACCACCGUGUGCAAAUGAUGCACCACCAAAGCCAAUAGUUUCACCAUAACCCGAGCCAGACCCUGCACCAUACCCUGAUUCUCUGUUUGUCCCACCACCCCCACCUUUGCCACCACCGCUUCCCAUAGAAUACCCUCCAUCAUAAGGUUUGUAUUUCUUCCCUUCACUAUUUCCAGAACCAGACCCCAAACAAUAACCAAAUCCUCCAUUCCGCCCUCCGCCACCGCCCCCACCCUUUCCACCUCCACUAGCAUAUUGCCCGCUAGAAGGCCCAGAUGCCACAGACUCCCCAUAGCCAGACCCAAAACCUGAACCUGAUCCCCAACCAUUACCAUUGCUUGACCCACCACCGCCUCCUCCACCAGUUGCACUAGCAUAUGCUCCACUAGAAGGCCCAUAAGCUCUAGCCUCUCCAUGUCCUGCCCCAGAACCAGAUCCCCACCCGCCACCAUUUUCUGAGCUACCACCACCUCCUCCUCCACCACCACCUCCGCUUCCAACUUCGACACCAGUGCUGGAAUACCUAUUUACUCUCGUGGCGCUAGACGCUCCAAUGAUCAAUAAGAGCAUAGUGAAGCCAAGAAUUGCGAGCUUAGUGGCAUCCAUUGUGAGCGGAGUAAGAGAAGUGGAAGAUGGACUUCUAUGUGAGUAAUAGUGAUGUAUUUAUAGUAUAUAGUGUUAGUGAGAGUAAUUACAAAAAUGCACGCCUACAAAGGAGAUAUUUUAAAUAAUGAAGUAUGAUCAGUUGAUGAUAUUGAUUUGGGAAGGAAAGAAUCAAAUCAUUAAUACGAGUGCUGGAUCGAAUAUCACAGCGAUCGAGCAUCUGAUGUAGUAAGAAUUUAAUGAUCAGUCACAGCACUAGAUUGUUAAUUUACUGUGAUGAAAUAUCAGUGCAUUGUUUACUGGAGUACUAGUUAUUAUUAGUACUGAAAGCAGCAUCUUCUUCAGAUGUCAAAUGUAUAAGGGAGGCGCCGACCAAGAAGGCAAACAGAAUGGCUCAGAAUUUGUCUACUUAACGUAGGAUCCCUGGGUAUAGAGUCCCCUGCACAGACGUGCAUUGUUCAGACUGACAAUGAAGACGAUCUGCAACGCUGACUUUUUCUUCUUAUUCAUGUAUAAAUUGAUCUGCUUCUUACGAAUUUCUAUGUUCCAAAACAAUAGGAUCUAGAUCGGUCUAAGUAGUUAUAUAUAAGCCAUUUUUUUUUGUCGGUAUACGCUUAUUGAACGUGAGAAACCUUUGGUUGGGCCGAAAAAAAAAUCGAAGCUUGAAUAAAAAAAACCCAAUAACAUUAUAUUUGAAAAUUUGUAAUACCCAAGGAUCCAACGGCCCAUGUAGCCAUGCAUGCAUGUUUCUUUGCAAAAGCAGCCCAUAGUAGCCGAAGCCCAAUAACUGACCGGCUGAACGCCACAGUUGAUGUGUGUCCUCAGAAAAGCCGAUCGACCAGCUCAUCCAGUUCAUGAUCAGCACCGGGUUCACGAUUCCGACGAAAACCGGUCAAAUUCCGUGAAAUUUCGACGUUUCGAUAUGGCUCGGAAUUAAGUUUCGAUUGGAAUUUCGAAGGUUAAACAGUAGAUUUGGUCGAAAUUUAUCAAAAACUGUGACACCGAUAGGGCUCGAAAUUUAGUGGUCAACCGGUAAUGUAAACCUUGAUCAGCACUUAAAUGAUCGAUGUUGGAGAAUUAAAACCGUAGUGUAUCUGUUUGAUCAAAUUUCAACUUAUAUUGUUGACAAUAAGAUUUAAAGUUCUAUACUGGUUUGUUUUGGUAAGUUUACCGUGCUGGAACAUGAAACCUCAUUUAGUUUCUUCGGAAUUCAACGGCAGUAGAGUAGGAGACAUGGUUUGUGUGAGGUACUUAUUAAUUUAGUGGUAUUAUAUAGAGCCAAAGAUUGAUUAUGCUUCAUCAUCAUAUGGUAAGACAACAAGUAAGAACUUACAAAUUGAUUACACAACCACACAUUCAUAUACAGCCAAAGGCAAGGCCUUUAUUCCAUAUAUUAGUUGCAGCACACAAAACAUCUAAUUUAUCAUGUGUAGUACCAGCACACAAAACUUUAAUUCAGUACUUUAAUUCAGAUGAGGGUUUUAUGGGUGCCCACCACCAGACCCGCUUCCUGAGCCGCCUCCGUAGCCACUACCACCUGGACCGCUCCCACCACCUCCGCCGCCGCCACCACCACCGCCGCCGCUAGCAUAAGGUCCAUAAUAUGGCCCACCAGCUUGACCAUAUCCACCGCCAGCACCAUAACCAUACCCGCCGCCUCCACCGCCACCUGCACCGCCGCCACCACCACCGCUAGCAUAAGGUCCAUAAUAAGGCCCACCAGCUUGACCAUAUCCCCCGCCAGCACCAUAACCAUACCCACCGCCUCCACCACCACCGCCGC
rnacentral:lncRNA from 1 species